UACGGAGGGUGCAAGCGUUGUCCGGAAUCACUGGGCGUAAAGGGCGCGUAGGCGGCUCAUGAAGGCUGUGGUGAAAGUCCGGGGCUCAACCUCGGAUCGGCCGUGGCGACUCGUGGGCUGGAGCACUGUAGAGGCGGGUGGAAUUCCGGGUGUAGCGGUGGAAUGCGCAGAUAUCAGGAGGAACACCAAUGGCGAAGGCAGAUCUCUGGGCCGUAACUGACGCUGAGGAGCGAAAGCAUGGGGAGCGAACAGGG
rnacentral:rRNA from 1 species